rnacentral:rRNA from 1 species
UACGGGGGAUGCAAGUGUUAUCCGGAAUUAUUGGGCGUAAAGCGUCUGUAGGUGGUUUUAUAAGUCUACUGUUAAAGGUCGAAGCUUAACUUCGGAAAAGCAGUAGAAACUAUAAAUCUAGAGUAUUAUCGAAGUAGAAGGAAUUUCCAGUGGAGUGGUGAAAUGCGUAGAUAUUGGAAGGAACACCGAUAGCGAAGGCAUUCUAUUAGAUAGUUCUGACACUCAGAGACGAAAGCUAGGGUAGCAAAUGGGAUUAGAUACCCCAGUAGUCCUAGCUGUAAACUAUGGAUACUAUACAAUAACAUUUGCUGUGUUGUUAAAGCUAACGCGUAAGUAUCCCGCCUGGGGAGUAUGCUCGCAAGGGUG